rnacentral:rRNA from 1 species
AUUGAACGCUGGCGGCAGGCCUAACACAUGCAAGUCGAACGAGUGGCGGACGGGUGAGUAAUGUCUGGGAAACUGCCUGAUGGAGGGGGAUAACUACUGGAAACGGUAGCUAAUACCGCAUACCAUCGGAUGUGCCCAAAUGGGAUUAGAUAGUAGGUGGGGUAAAGGCUCACCUAGGCGACGAUCCCUAGCUGGUCUGAGAGGAUGACCAGCCACACGGGAACUGAGACACGGUCCAGACUCCUACGGGAGGCAGCAGUGGGGAAUAUUGCACAAUGGGCGCAAGCCUGAUACAGCCAUGCCGCGUGUAUGAAGAAGGCCUUCGGGUUGUAAAGUUCUUUCAGCGGGGAGGCGUUACCCGCAGAAGAAGCACCGGCUAACUCCGUGCCAGCAGCCGCGGUAAUUC